rnacentral:rRNA from 3 species
ACCUCAAAUCAGGUAGGACUACCCGCUGAACUUAAGCAUAUCAUA